AUUGAACGCUGGCGGCAGGCCUAACACAUGCAAGUCGAGCGAGCGGCGGACGGGUGAGUAAUGUCUGGGAAACUGCCUGAUGGAGGGGGAUAACUACUGGAAACGGUAGCUAAUACCGCAUACCAUCAGAUGUGCCUAGAUGGGAUUAGCUAGUAGGUGGGGUAACGGCUCACCUUGGCGACGAUUCCUACCGGGUCUGAGAGGAUGACCAGCCACACUGGAGCUGAGACACGGUCCGGAAUCCUACGGGAGGAAGCAGUGGGGAAUAUUGCACAAUGGGCGGAAGCCUGAUGCAGCCAUGACGCGUGUGUGAAGAGGGCCUACGGGUUGUAAGGCACUUGCAGCGGGGAGGCGUUACCCGCAGAAGAAGCACCGGCUAACUCCGUGCCAGCAGACGCGGUAAUUC
rnacentral:rRNA from 1 species